CGGGGUGAGUAACGCGUGGGUAACCUGCCUCAUACAGGGGGAUAACAGUUAGAAAUGACUGCUAAUACCGCAUAAGCGCACGAGAUCGCAUGAUAAAGUGUGAAAAACUCCGGUGGUAUGAGAUGGACCCGCGUCUGAUUAGCUGGUUGGCGGGGUAACGGCCCACCAAGGCGACGAUCAGUAGCCGACCUGAGAGGGUGACCGGCCACAUUGGGACUGAGACACGGCCCAAACUCCUACGGGAGGCAGCAG
rnacentral:rRNA from 1 species